rnacentral:ncRNA from 1 species
UGGCAAAACCUUCGAAAGAUGGUGACGCAAAGCUAUAGGGUCUAAUCCAUGUAACAUGAGAAUGACAACCAGUUGCA